UUCCAACCUAAUGAAGAGCUUUGUGUGCAUUUAAAACUAUAAAAUUCCCACUCAAUUAUUUUUGGUCUUUUUCUUGGUUUUACUGUGUUGGCCUUUCAUCAAACAAUUUUCCACUGAAAUGUUUAUAGAGAUUGUUAUGAAUUUACUCAUUGUUGUAGAAAUUUUAUAUGAAUUCCUGAUUUAAAUAGGAAGGGUGCACUCUGCAUGAAUUUCGAAAGAGAAUUGGGUUAAUAUUCUCGAACCGGGACAUGGUGGUGGACGACAAUGUUAGGAAAUCUGGAGAUGUCAUCAAGGGCCUGGGAAAAGUUAUCUUUUUUUUUUUAACGAAUUUCCGACCCUAAAAUCGGUUCAACCGGAGAUAGGGUCCAACAUAUGGAAGAGCACCACAUGUCUUGCGGUGUUUGGUGCCCCCUCGGUGGCCAUUAAAAAUAUGGAGAACCGAGUACCAUCCAUGCCCGA
rnacentral:ncRNA from 1 species